UGAGAAAAAGGUGCCAUUUUUAGAUUAAAAUUGACGUGAAAUCGACAAGAGCAUAUAAAAUUAGAGAUUCAUGGUUUCCAAGAAACGUGCGUAUGAUGUUACCGUUCGUACCCUUCGGAAAAUAUACGAUUUUAUGAGGCGUUUUCACUUGCUAUAUGUGUUCCCAUGUUACGGCAAAGUCUUGGGCAAUGUGCUCUGUGUUCUUGAAGGAUUUAAUAAUAAUAAUAAGAGCGCUAAAAUGGUGUCUAUAAAGAAACUCGGAAUCGGCGGUGGAUGUAUGUUUUUCUUCGGCAUUAUAACGUGGUGUGGAUUUCCUUCACUAAUUAGGUCUCAAAUCAAGAAGACUGUCAUGUUGAAACCAGGCAGUGAAAUACGCGAAAUAUGGUCGAAUUUUCCGUAUCCAGUGGAUUUUAAAAUGUAUUUGUUCAAUGUGACUAACCCUGAUGAGGUUGUACAGGGUCAAAAGCCAAAACUACAAGAAGUCGGACCAUUCUUUUAUGAUGAGUACAAGGUGAAAAUAGAUCUCAUCGAUCGAGAGGAUGAGGAUAGCGUCGAAUAUAGCAUAAAAGCUACAUUGUUUUUCAAUCCCAAGAAAAGCCACGGAUUGACGGGCAACGAGGACAUGAUGGUUCCUCAUCUAAUGAUUCUGAGCAUGGCGUUGAUAACCCUGAAGGAGAAGCCUGCUGCAAUGCCAAUUAUUGGCAAAGCGGUCGACAGUAUCUUCCACAAACCAGACUCAAUAUUCGUAAAAGCCAAAGCCAAAGACAUACUUUUCGAUGGUCUGCCAGUCGAUUGCACAGUGUCAGACUUCGCUGGAUCGGCAGCAUGCAAGGUGCUGAAGACGGAAGCGAAACUUCUUCUUGUGCCGGACGGAGAAAAUCGUUACAAGUUCUCUCUCCUCGCUGGGAGAAACGGGAGCGCCCUACCGCAACGUAUGAAAGUUUUGCGUGGUAUUAAAAAUUACAAAGACGUCGGUCGUGUCGUGGGAUGGGAUGGUAAACCUGCGUUGGAUAUUUGGCCGGAAGAUCAUUGUAAUCAAUACAACGGUACCGAUUCAACGAUCUUCCCACCUCUAUUCGGGCCAGACGACGACAUUGUCUCAUUCGCUUACGAAAUCUGUCGAUCUAUUAGCGCGCAUUAUCGUUAUCAUAGCAGAGUCAGAGGUAUCAAUACUCUUCAUUAUACGGCGGACCUCGGAGAUAUGAGCAAGAAUCCUGAAGAAAAAUGUUUCUGCCCGACACCGGAUACUUGUCUAACGAGAAAUCUCUAUGAUUUGUCGAAGUGUAUAGGUGCACCUAUCAUUGGAUCGCCUCCACACUUUUACAAUUGCGAGCCAAAUUGGUUGGAUUUGGUGGAUGGUUUGCAUCCGACUCAGGAGGAUCAUGAAAUAGAAAUGGAUUUCGAACCGAUGACAGCUGUGCCGCUACGCGCGCAUAUGCGAUUUCAGUUCAACAUGUUCGUACAACCGAUUCCGAAGUUCAAAUUGAUGAAAAAUUUCCCAGAGGCAUUGUUGCCGCUAUUUUGGUUGGAAGAAGGAAUAUUACUCCCUGACGAAUAUGUUAAUAAGAUCAAGAUGGUGUUCAAGUUGACAGCAGUUGUCAAUUUUCUGAAAUACGUGAUGGUAUUUGGCGGGAUAGGCAUGUGCAUUGCAGCCGGUGGGUUGUAUUACAAGAAUCGCAAAGAAAAUAGUGGCAAGUUAGAUAUCAUGAAGGUCAUACCGAAAAGCGGCAAUAUAGAAAAAAGUUGGCCUACCAUGAAGAUCAGUACGAUACACGUACGUGGCGACGGUGCCUACUAAUCUUGACAAAAAUUGAACACUAUUAACGAAAGGCUAAUCUCAAUUUUAACAUCGAGAAAGAAAUCCCUUCACAGCUCUAAAUAUUUUUUUAAUUAGAAUUAUUUUUAAAAUAUAUAAUAAGAGGUAUAAAUGAAUAGGCUUUCUUAAAAGACGAUCGAUAAAAAGUUAUUAGAGCUGAUAUAGGGAGAAAUAGAGAAUUUAAUCUCCAUUAAAAUAAUAAGAGGAUUGAAUAUUGCAACGUUAGAUGUAAUAUUUUGAUGAUGUGAUUAGGAAGGUUGGAAAAGCAUAUAUUAUUCUAAAACUAAUUGCUUAACCAUCUAUUAAAUGAUAGAUAAAUAAUAAAGUUUUUAAAGAAAAUUGAACUUAAGUGAAUAAGGAUCGUAUAGAUAAGGUUUAUUUCUUAUAUGUAACAUAUUUAAA
rnacentral:misc_RNA from 1 species